UACGGGGGGGGCAAGCGUUGUUCGGAAUUACUGGGCGUAAAGGGCUCGUAGGCGGCCAACUAAGUCAUACGUGAAAUCCCUCGGCUUAACCGGGGAACUGCGUCUGAUACUGGAUGGCUUGAGUUCGGGAGAGGGAUGCGGAAUUCCAGGUGUAGCGGUGAAAUGCGUAGAUAUCUGGAGGAACACCGGUAGCGAAGGCGGCAUCCUGGACCGGUAUUGACGCUGAGGCGCGAAAGCCAGGGGAGCAAACGGG
rnacentral:rRNA from 1 species